AAAGUAUAUUUUAGGAAUAUAAAGUUCACUUUUUUUUGGCGCAUUCCUCCUCUUCUCUUCUAUUCUCUUCGGCGUCCGUGAGGGCAAAACCCUCAAGUUGGAUUCCAAGGUUUGGAUUAGCAUUGGCAUAAGAUGGCAAUAAUCUCUGGGUUGAUGACAGGCUUCGUCCAUCCCAAAAUACCAUUCCAGAUUCAGAAAUAUGACAGAAGCAGAGAUUACAAUGGCAUUCGACUGGAAUCUAAAAUGAUUCCUAGAGCAAAGAUUCAGUAUUUUCUUGGAGGUGGUUUUCACACCAGAUAUGCUACAUCUCCAGGAGGAAAUCAUCAUGAAUUGAGCUCUGGCAAUGACUUCCUUGAGGAGCCCUUUUGGUUAACCCUGAUAAAGGAAGCUUUCUGGGCUUUGAAAUCUUUGUUUGUCUUCCUCCUUGAACAACCUAGCCAGCUGAAGUACAUAGAGUGGCCAAGUUUCCACAGUACGCUGAAGACUGCUUCUCUCACUCUCUUUCUUGUGGCACUACUUAUAGUUGCACUCGCCUCAGUUGACUCUGCCCUUUCCUAUCUGUUGGCCUUGCUUCUACGAAAGCCUCUGUGACCCAUUGUUGUUGAAAUGCCAAGUUAAAUCGUGAUGGAGGACAUACCUUGCGGUCAUCGGUUUUGAUCAUGCCACUAGGCAUUUGAGUAUAGUCAAGCUCAACACUUCUCCUGAUGCCAUUCAGAGCCUAUCUUAUCAGCACUGUGAGCAUAAUUCUCUUUUACCUCUCAUACAUACUGGCAAAGAACAAACUUUUUGUUACACGAAGCAGGGGCCACAACUUCCAGAGUGAAAACAAUGGCAGGCAACAUUUAUUAAUGUUUUGAUUCAAAGCUGUUCCUACAUCUAUGACAGCGGUUUUGUUAAAAUCUAUGUUAAUAUCUGAAUCUUUUAUUUUAUUUUAUUAUUUGUUUUUUUUCCCUUGCUGGAGAAGCUUGUAUCCAUCUUUUUAUUAUUGGCAGCCGUAUGGAAAAUUUAAAUCUUACUAACA